rnacentral:rRNA from 1 species
ACACUCCUACGGGAGGCAGCAGUGGGGAAUUUUGGACAAUGGGCGAAAGCCUGAUCCAGCCAUGCCGCGUGCAGGAUGAAGGCCUUCGGGUUGUAAACUGCUUUUGUACGGAACGAAACGGCCUUUUCUAAUAAAGAGGGCUAAUGACGGUACCGUAAGAAUAAGCACCGGCUAACUACGUGCCAGCAGCCGCGGUAAUACGUAGGGUGCAAGCGUUAAUCGGAAUUACUGGGCGUAAAGCGUGCGCAGGCGGUUAUGUAAGACAGUUGUGAAAUCCCCGGGCUCAACCUGGGAACUGCAUCUGUGACUGCAUAGCUAGAGUACGGUAGAGGGGGAUGGAAUUCCGCGUGUAGCAGUGAAAUGCGUAGAUAUGCGGAGGAACACCGAUGGCGAAGGCAAUCCCCUGGACCUGUACUGACGCUCAUGCACGAAAGCGUGGGGAGCAAACAGGAUUAGAAACCCCGGUAGUCCCAUGAU